CGAGCCAUCGCCUGGGGGCGCUGUCCGUCCACGCUGGCCAGGGUACGCCAGUGCUCAAGUCCCAGGUUCAGGCCGGGCGGUUCGUC
rnacentral:tRNA from 1 species